AGAGACAGCAGCCGCCGCGGUAAUACGGAGGGUGCAAGCGUUAAUCGGAAUUACUGGGCGUAAAGCGCACGCAGGCGGUCUGACAAGUCAGAUGUGAAAUCCCCGGGCUUAACCUGGGAACUGCAUUUGAAACUGUCAGGCUGGAGUCUUGUAGAGGGGGGUGGAAUUCCAGGUGUAGCGGUGAAAUGCGUAGAGAUCUGGAGGAAUACCGGUGGCGAAGGCGGCCCCCUGGACAAAGACUGACGCUCAGGUGCGAAAGCGUGGGGAGCAAACAGGAUUAGAUACCCCUGUAGUCCCUGUCUCUUAUAC
rnacentral:rRNA from 1 species